ACACCCAACGGUAACAGACACAUUAGGACCUCCAACAAUCAAAGUCACAAACAUGGAAGUACCCAAAUCCCCCACCCCCUCCCGGAAAAUACAUAACACUAAUGACAGAAAAAAAAUACCUAUGAUACGAAAUUAAUAGGGGUAGCAGGCGGGCCAGUCCGGCCAGAAGCCUGAUUGUUGGCAGGCACCCCGCCCCGCCUCACCCCACCUAGGGUGAAGGUCUUGUACCUCUAUAAUGCCCUGCCGUUUGUGGGCUGCUUUGUUAGUUUAGUUUAGUGUUUUUUGUAUGUAUACUAAAU
rnacentral:lncRNA from 1 species